UACAAUAUAAAAAAUCAAACUCUCAUUAAUAAGAUAAAAAUUCACAUAACUAACCAACCAAUCUACUAAAAUUCCCUAUAAAAAGUUUAUGAAGUGAAUAUUAGUUAAAUGGCAAUAUGGAAGGCGGGUAUUCGUGUACUUCCCCCUGCAAAUCAUGUUGGGCCCUUCUUGUAUUGAUGUGUUCAAAGUCCCUAUCAGGUUGAUGUGGUACAAGUCCUCCUCAUGUUGGGCCCAUACACUGACCCCAACUAGUGCUACCUAUAACCCUAUUGUAUACACUAUGAUUGGGAGGGUUGACAGAACACACUCUACAUAAAGGAAAAUAGAGGAAAUUAAGAAGUCUUAGCUAAUUCUUUUUCAAUUAAUUAAGCCAUGGAAUCCACAGCAAACAGCCAUUUAUUACCAAUUAGUGGCCAUUCAAGAAAAGAAGAGAACUUUGCAUAUGCAAUAUAACUAUUGUCAUCAUCAGUAUUGCCCUUUGUGCUUCAUUCAACAGUUGAGUUGGAGGUGUUCGAGAUCCUAGCCAAAGCUAACACACAACUUUCUGCUUCACAGAUAGUUAUUCAAAUGCCUAGUAGCAAGAACCCUGAUGCAGCUAACAUGCUAGACAGGAUGCUUUAUGUCUUGGCUAGGUACUCCUUGCUCAGUUGCUCCAUUAUUGAAGAAAAUGGGGUUCCAAUACGAUUCUACGGUCUGUCAACAGUGGGCAAGUUCUUUGUUCGUGAUGAAGAAGAUGGUGCAUCUUUGAGGCCAAUGUUGGCUUUGCAUCAACAUGAAGUAAUCAUUAACAGCUUGUUUCAUCCUCACCUGAUGAUAUCCGGCUCUCAAGUCAACUUUUGAGAGUGCAGUUGCUCUAAAUAGUUCAUUCAACAAGUUAUCAAUCAUUGGGAUUGGAUAUUUAUUUUUAACUGUUAAGCUGUUUAACCUCCUGUAAUCAACACACAAUCUCCAAGUAGAGUCUUUCUUCUUGCCCAACAAAGCCGGUGAAGCAAAAGAGGAUUGAUUCUGCACCGCUGUUUCAUCUUUGAGCAUCUCUUGAACAAUUGACUCUAUAACAUUCUUUUGAUCAAAGGAAUAUCGAUGUAUAGGGUCUAAGAUUGAAUGGUUGUGCUCCAGGUUUGGAUUAAAAGAUGCAGUUCUUGAAGGAGGAGUUCCAUUUGACAGGAUGCAGAGUGUAAAUCUUUUUGAAUAUUUAAAAACGAAUUCCAUGUUUAACAAUGUUUUCAACAAGGCAAUGAUCAACCAUACAACUUUAGUCAUGAAAAAUAUACUUGACAACUACAAGGGUUUUGAGGACCUCACGACUUUGGUUGAUGUGGGAGGUGGUCUUGGAAUUAACCUCAAGAUGAUUACAUCUAAAUACCCAACCAUUAAGGGCACUAAUUUUGAUUUGCCGCAUGUUGUUCAACAUGCCCCUUCCUAUAACGGUACCUUCUCAUUCUUGU